UUUGCCAAUCGUCACCUGCAAUCAGGUAAGAAAAUCUUUAGAAACUGCAUCAUCAGCAACACUAGGAGACAUCGACCGCCGCCACAUUGCCGACUACCUCGCACACACGAUCGACGUUGCCAACCGCCACUAUGUCAUCAAGGAAACCGCCAAUGUGGCAAAAGCUGCUCAACUGAUUGGACGCCUGGUACACCCUGCAGCUACUCGUAUGAAACCAGCCAGCGAUGAUACAACGGGAAGUGAGAGCGCGACAGGCACAGCCAGUACUGCCAGUGUGGCCCAGUCAGCUGUGUGUCGCUACAAUCGCCCUUGAUGAGGAUCCACCUACACUAAAGACCUGCAAGGACAUCGACCAGCAAGAUGGACAACGACUCUACAAUCGAUGGAUGUACGAACGAACGAAGUUGCGAGGCAAAGAACUAAUCGGCGCAUUCCCAAGAACAAGACCAUCACAUCACGCCUAAA